UACAUCCUACGGGAGGCAGCAGGGAGGAAUACUGGUCAAUGGGCGCGAGCCUGAACCAGCCAAGUAGCGUGAAGGAUGACUGCCCUACGGGUUGUAACCUCCUUUUAUAAAGGAAUAAAGUGAGGCACGUGUGCCUUUUUGUAUGUACUUUAUGAAUAAGGAUCGGCUAACUCCGUGCCAGCAGCCGCGGUAAUACGGAGGAUCCGAGCGUUAUCCGGAUUUAUUGGGUUUAAAGGGAGCGUAGAUGGGUUGUUAAGUCAGUUGUGAAAGUUUGCGGCUCAACCGUACAAUUGCAAUUGAUACUG
rnacentral:rRNA from 1 species